AUUGGGACAGUAGGUAGCUGGCUAGUUAUUCCAUCUUCUUGUACUUAUCUUUUCCAUUUUGUGGCAGCUGGCUACCAGAAUUAAGGUGCAAUGCCUAAAAAGCAUGCACAUAAAGAAUCUGAAUUAUUGAGACACUGUUCUUCACAGACAGGUCCAGUCUUCUCUGAAUGGACUCCUCCAGAGAGAAAUCAAAGUCAAACCUACGAAAAGAAACAGAAAGAGGAGUGACUCACAAGGAGAAUGUAUUUCGCUGUCUGAGGUCUAAAUGGGAAGGAACCCAUCUGGGAACGACUUCUUCUAUGCCGCCUUCACCUGCGUCCCCUGGAGCUCCACGACACACCGCCAGCUGAGUGUCCAAGAUCUGCCAGACAUUCAGGGUUAGAAAUCAUAGCGUCGCAUGGCAAGUCUAUUCUACAUUUUCUCUCCUGCAUUUAUGACUAGGUGAGAGGUUACAUCUUCACCCAUGUAUGUUUCACUGGUUGGUUUGUCAGCAGGAUUACUCAAAAACUACCAAAUGGUUUUCCAUGAAACUUAGACGGAGGAUGGGUCCCAGCCCAGAAUAGACCCAAUUAAAGUUUGGUGUGGAUCUGGGUAAAAGGAUGGAUAAAGGACAAUUCCUUAACCUUAACCUUUUUUAAGCAUUACUAGACUUUAACAUUUCUGUUAAUCUCUCAGUGAAUAAAGAAUGGAUGUUCAUGAAAAAAAGGCAAGUACAAUUUAAUACAGAUGCUGAAUCUGGUACGCUUUAAUUGUCGUCAAGCAGUUACGGGUGAUUUAAUAUUUAGAGUGUUACAGGGCCAUUGAGUUUGACACUGGAAUUAGGCUUGAUUGAAUCAAUAAAGAUUAUUGGGUCUUGA